rnacentral:rRNA from 1 species
CUGGACUACGGUGGUUGUAACGGGUACGGGGAAUUAGGGUUCGAUUCCGGAGAGGCAGCCUGAGAAACGGCUACCACUUCCAAGGAAGGCAGCAGGCGCGUAAAUUAUCCAAUCCCAAUUCGGGGAGAUAGUGACAAGAAAUACUGAUGUAGGGCCUUUUGGGUUCUACUAUUGGAAUGAGUACAAUUUAAAACCAUUAGCGAGGAACAAUUGGAGGGCAAGUCUGGUGCCAGCAGCCGCGGUAAUUCCAGCUCCAAGAGUGUAUAUUAAAGUUGUUGCGGUUAAAAAGCUCGUAGUUGGACUUAAGGUGAGGGUGCGGAGUCCCUGGUGACAUUGUUGCUGGGAUAAAGGCUUUGUUACUCUCUCCUAUUUCUAGGGACGCAAAACACUGGGGCAACUCAGUGGUCUCUCAGGAUUUACUUUGAAAAAAUUAGGGUGUUAAAAGCAGGCGAAUCGCCUUGAAUACAUAAGCAUGGGAUAAUGAAAGAUGACCUUUUGGUCUAUACUUUAUUGGUUUCUAAGGCCGAGGUAAUGAUUAACAGGGACAGUUGGGGUCGCUUGUAUUCAGUGGUCAGAGGUGAAAUUCUAGGACCCACUGAGGACAAACAAAUGCGAAGGCACUCGACAAGGAUGUUUUCAUUAAUCAAGAACGAAAGUUGUGGGAUCGAAGAUGAUCAGAUACCGUCGUAGUCGCAACCGUAAACUAUGUUGACUUAGGAUUGGGGGAUGUUAAUAGAUGACUCUCCUAGCACUAUGUGCGAAAGCAUAAGUAUUCGAACUCCGGGGGGAGUAUGGUCGCAAGGCUGAAACUUAAAGGAAUUGACGGAAGGACACCACCAGGAGUGGAACCUGCGGCUUAAUUUGACCCAACACGGGGAAACUCACCCAGUCCGGACAUUACGAGGAUUGACAGAUUGAUAGCUCUUUCUUGAUUUGAUGGAAGCCGGUGCAUGGCCGUUUUUAGUUGGUGGAGUGAUUUGUCUGGUUAAGUCCGAUAACGAACGAGACCUCAAUCUGCUAAAUAGUACCGUUCACAGGGUGAUCUCUGGGUGCAUUGGGCUUCGGUUCGGCGUGUUUGGGGGUUGCCGUUCAGUUGUGGGCGGGAAAGAUACUUCUUAGAGAGACAGUUAACGAGACAUGAUAGUUAAAGGAAGCUUGAGGCAAAAACAGGUCUGUGAUGCCGCUCGAUGCCCGGGGCUGCACGCGCGUUACACUGACAUGCUCAAUGAGUAUUACGAUUUCACCUGGCCCGAUGGGGUUUAGGCAACCUGAAAAAGCAUGUCGUGAUGGGGAUUGUGCCUUGAAACUAUUGCACAUAAACGAGGAAUUCCUAGUAAGGGUAAGUCAUCAACUUGCCCUGAUUACGUCCCUGUCCUUUGUACACACCGCCCGUCGCUUCUACCGAUCGAAUUGCUCGAUGAGAAUUCGGGACGAGGGAGCUUUCUCUGGUCGAAAGGCUGGGGAUGUUUCUUUGGAACCUAUUCGAAUCUCGUAAUUUAGAGGAAGAAGAAGUCGUAACAAGGUA